CAUUCUUCCCAUCAAAAUUUCACUGGUACAUUUAUUUUGGAUUUGACCCUCUGGGGAAGGGGCAUGGCCUCUGUCGACCAGAAGGCUCUGGGGCGCAGGCAGGGAGAAUGAGGUCUCAGAAUGACUCCCUUGAGAGCCCUGUUCCCGUUUCACCAACACACAGACCCAGAAGACUCCUCCCUCCUGCAGCACCUGCCAUGAGCAUCAGCCUCCUGUGCUGUGCGGCCUUUUGUCUCCUGUGGGCAGGUCCAGUGAUUGCUGGCAUCACCCAGGUUCCAAAAUCUCAGAUCCUGACAGCAGGAUGGAGAGUGACACUGAGAUGUACCAGGAUAUGAGACAUAAUGCCAUGUACUGGUAUAGGCAAGAUCUAGGAUUGGGGCUAAUGCUCAUCUAAAUACAGCGGGUAGCACUGGCAAAGGAGAAGUCCCUGAUGGUUACAGCAUCUCCACAUCAAACACUGAUGAUUUCUCCCUCAUGCUGGAGUCAGGUGAACCCUCUCAGACAUCUGUGUACUUCUGUGCCAGCAGUGACCCCACAGUACUGCACAGCCAUCUCCUCUCUGAGUAUAAAGGCAGGGGAGGCUCUGCCCUCCUCCCCAAUCCCAGACUCAGCUGCGUCCUUGGCAGGGUUCUCAGCACUGAGAAUCUUGGAAGCCCAAUGGGUCCUGGCAGUGGAUUGAGACAGAAAGUGAUGUCACUGCGGGAACUGUUCUGUGUUGGGACAAGGACCGAGGACGUCCCUCCUCCUCUGCUUCUGCUUGUGACCCUGAUCGGGUAA